GCUUCACUGUGGAACACUUCCGGGUCAUCCAGGCCUGUCCUGCGGGAAGAAACCCACUGUGGGUGAGAGGAGGCAGCUGCUGGCAAUUCUGGUGUCACAAAGCGCCACUGUGGACUCAGAACAAGCAAGGACGUCAGUGCGACCAGCUCGUAGAUCUGGGGAGGGCCCAGCUCAGAGGUGCAGAUGAUGAAGAAGGCCCGUUUAUCUGUGUGAGGAAGGAAAGGGGAAGUCAGCACAAGGUGACAGGGGUGCCAGAGGCCCAGCCCGAGCGACUGAGGGCAGACCUGAAGGCUGAAGUUUACCAUGGACGGAGACCAGUCAGGGGCCCCUCGUGGAUCAUCUUCCUGCUUGUAAGAUCCAGGCUCUGUAGGAGACACCGCCACUCGUUCACUCGGGCGUCUGAGGACCUACUGCGUGUGCGCGGGGAUCAGCAGUGAGGAGAAAACAGUCUCUUCCCUUAUGCUCCCACAGUAAAAGGCAACUAUGAAGCCGUGUGCAGUGCGCCAGGCCAUGGCUCUGGCCCGGUCUCCUCCCAGCUUCUACCACAUGCCCUCUGUCUCCCAAGAGGGCACUCUCCUUCUGCCCUCCUCCCUCCAUCUCUGCCCCCUGCCCAAACGAUCGCCCCUCUGCCUUAACUUCUACCCACGCUCUGCUCUCUGGCAUCCACCUGCCUUCACUUGGAGAGGUGUCUGCCCUGUCCAUCCAAGGAUGCUGUUGAUGACGACGGGGCGUGUCUCCCAGGGCCCCACUGUCACCCAUCACAGCCGGCCCUGCCUGAGACUCUCCAGGCCCUGACUUGAGUUUUGCCCUGAGGACACCUAGGAAGCGCGUGAGGCUGUCUGGGCCGCGGGUUCUGCCCCUACCUUGAACUCUGCUGCCAGCGGGUUGCUGGCCCUGUCCAGGGCGGUGGCGUCCAGGCGUCUCUGGUAACCCUCCAGCCGGUGGCAGUUCUCAGUCUGCUUCACUGCUUCGUUCACGAACUUGAGGAUCUCCCGGCACUGGUCUCGGGCUCGGCACAGCUUCUCAUGUUCUGCAGUGCCAGCUAACAGACAGGACGUGGCAGCGCUCAGGGCUCGCUCCACCACAGCCGUGCCUCCAUCAGUCACUGCUUCCUCACAGCCCGCGUGCAGGUGCCC
rnacentral:lncRNA from 1 species